UUGCUUUUUCAUGUCUUAUGUUCUGUGGU
rnacentral:piRNA from 1 species